CCGCCGCUUAUUCCGAGCCCCGUGCGUGAGAAAUCGUGAAUGGAACGGCGAUGGUGAGGCGACGCGAGGGUGCGCAGGUGAUGCGAGGAAGGGGAGCGGCGACAGGUUUGUCCUCCGCGCAUCAACCGACGGGGUGAAGGCCGGCGGGAUGGAGAUCUUGAUGGAUCCUGUGGACAAGUUUCCGCUGCGAGAGGAGUUCGCCGACAGCCUCGAGCACCCAGAUCUGAUGGCCCUUGUCGUGCUGCGGCGUGGAGGACCGGGGCACAAGCGGCCAAGGAGUCGAAUGUCGCUUCUGGGGGCGCACAGGCGGUGAGCGUCAACGACGACCGACGCAAGAGGAAAAGGUUCUCCUAUACAUUCUGCGCAGUCGACUGGGAAGGUUGAGGCUCGGUAGCGCCUCACCAGACAGAACCCCAUGCGUGUCUAGGAUGAGUGCGCUCGAGCAAACAAUUAGGAAAUUUGCGGAGGAACCAUCGAGAAGUCUGAUCAAACUUGAGCUGGGACUAAGCUCCGAAUCCCUCGGAGAGGCGUACGACUUCUACAACUUGUACUCGUUGGAAGUUGGAUUCGGCAUAAGAUAUGGUAAAAGUAGGUUGACGCUGUGAGGAUGAAAUCAAUGCAGGAAAUUGUCUGUGGAUGCCCGCCUGAAGCAGAGAACAGUUGGACUUGUCAAUGUGAGUGCCCGGCACUGAUCAGACUCUUGAGGGCUGCAGACAGCCAGACACCACUCAGUGUCUCCUACCAUGGGGGGAGAGAGUGCACUGGCAAUCGCAGAAGCACAUAGAUAGAGGUCAUCAUCUGUAGUUUCUUCGGGUCUAUUGAGAAAUUACCAUUAACAAAGAGGACUUUGGGAAACAUAUGUGGCAAGAUAAGUUGCUAGCAGGCAUGCAGAUGAUGACUUCUGGGAAACGUUGGAGGUUUCCACGGACCCAGAUUUCACUUACUGCGUACUUGCUUACAGUCAGAUGAAGAUCAAGAAUUUGAUGUGGACUAACGGUAGCAGCAGGAUGCCGAACGGGUUCUAUGAUGUGGUCACUUUUGACACGACGUAAGGAUGAAUAUAUGACAUGCCUUUCGGGCUCUUCAUGGGUUUUCAGAGUGUGAUACUAGCAGUGCUAAUGAGAAACGAGCAAGUCGAGAAGUUUGAGUGGGGUUUUGCCGAGUUCCUGGGAAUGAUGGGUGGACCAGUGCCUGAAUAAUAUUGACAGAUAUUUUAAUCAAGAAAACAUCAGUUCUCUACAUUUUACUGGAGUGAGCUAAUGUUCAUGUGUUAAUCAGUGCAGAUCAGAACAGAGCUAUGGAGGUGGCUAUAAGUUAAAUCAAUCCUGAGACUGUGCAUCGGUGGUUCAAAUAGCACAUAUUGAAGAAAUCUAAAGAGUGCUUGGGACCUCUGUACACGAAGAAGAAUGAGUUCAGGGCGGAGUUCCACGACGUUAUCAACCACAUGC